GGAUCAUUUGGACGUGUAUAUCGGGCUGAGUUUGACGACGGGAAGGUUCUUGCCGUGAAAAAGAUAAAUUCAUCUGCACUACCUAGGGAAUUAUCUGAAGAUUUCACUGACAUUGUUUCUAAAGUCUCCCAGUUACACCAUCCCAAUAUAACUGAACUCGUGGGUUAUUGCUUAGAGCAUGGGCAGCAUUUGCUUGUGUAUGAGUUCCACAAAAAUGGUUCGCUUUACGACUUAUUACAUCUAUCAGAUGAAUACAACAAACCUCUGAUAUGGAACUCACGCAUUAAGAUUGCUUUGGGAACAGCGCGAGCAUUGGAGUAUCUUCAUGAAGUGUGCUCCCCAUCUAUUGUUCAUAGAAACGUCAAGUCUGCUAACAUAUUGUUAGAUGCCGAACUCAGCCCCCACCUUUCUGACUC
rnacentral:misc_RNA from 1 species